rnacentral:rRNA from 1 species
AACGAACGCUGGCGGCAUGCCUAACACAUGCAAGUCGAACGGGAUCCAGGCUUCGGCCUGGUGAGAGUGGCGGACGGGUGAGUAACAUGUGGGAACCUGCCUUUUGGUUCGGGAUAACCGCGGGAAACUGCGGCUAAUACCGGAUGCUCCCGAGAGGGGAAAGAUUUAUCGCCAGAAGAGGGGCCCGCGUCCGAUUAGGUAGUUGGGUGAGGUAAUGGCUCACCAAGCCGACGAUCGGUAGCUGGUCUGAGAGGAUGAUCAGCCACACUGGGACUGAGAUACGGCCCAGACUCCUACGGGAGGCAGCAGUGGGGAAUAUUGGACAAUGGGGGCAACCCUGAUCCAGCAAUGCCGCGUGAGUGAUGAAGGCCUUAGGUUGUAAAGCUCUUUUGCCUAGGGAAGAUGAUGACUGUACCUGGAGAAUAAGCCCCGGCUAACUCGUGCCAGCAGCCGCGGUAAU